CGUCUUACCCCGCCGUGUUGGGGUGCCCCUGUCCGAGUCUCUAAUACUGCCGGGUAACGACGGA
rnacentral:pre_miRNA from 1 species